UGUUCCUCUUACAGGUUUCCUGGAGUUCCAGUGGCCAUAAGUGUGAUCACUGUGCCAAGCUGACACUCACACUUGUCUCUUAAUCUGAGAAGUUACACUGUGAGUAGAGAGAUGCAGGAAGCAAGUUUUGGAUGGGCCAUAUGGAGCCUGGAAGCACAGUGUCUCUAUUUGAGUGAUGUACCUUUCAGCAGGGCCUGGGAGGUUAAAGAGUUGUCCUGGAUUUUGUCAGAUCACCAGUUGUUUCCAAUACUUAAAAGAAGCAAACGGCUUAGCAUUGUUAAAGGAGUCCUUAGAUGGCAAAAGGCUCAAACCCCAAUGAAAACAUAGUGGGGACUUUGGAAGCGUAUACAGUUAUUUAUUUUGGAGGUUAGUGAAGGGGAAAGAUGGAAUGAUAGAAAAGACAGAAGGCAACUUCAUCAGGAGAGCACCAAUCUAUUGUCUAUUAAAACUGAAAAGGAAGUUGCUGCGAUUGAGGUGGUAAACUAAGUCAACAACAAGAGCAGCAGAUGGGGGAAGGCAAGUGCAGAUGUUUGGCUUGGAAAAUGGAAAAGCUCAGAGAAGAACUGAUUCAUUCUUUGUGCUGAGAGGAUGCAGAAGUUUACAAAUAAUAAAUUU